GUGUCUAACAUAGCCAUGCAUGUCUCAGUAUAAGCUUCUAUACGGCGAAACUGCGAAUGGCUCAUUAAAACAGUUAUAGUUUAUUUGGUGGUCAGCAAUUACAUGGAUAACCGUGGUAAUUCUAGAGCUAAUACAUGCGCCCAAACCCGACUUCGUGGAAGGGUUGUGUUUAUUAGAUACAGAACCAACCCAGGCUCCCCCUGGCCUUGAGGUGAUUCAUAAUAACCGAACGAAUCGCAUGGCUAUGCCGGCGAUAGACCAUUCAAGUUUCUGACCUAUCAGCUAUCGUCGGUAGGGUAUUGGCCUACCGUGGCAAUGACGGGUAACGGAGAAUUAGGGUUCGAUUCCGGAGAGGGAGCCUGAGAAACGGCUACCACAUCUAAGGAAGGCAGCAGGCGCGCAAAUUACCCAAUCCUGACGCAGGGAGGUAGUGACAAGAAAUAACAAUACAGGGCAUACAUGUCUUGUAAUUGGAAUGAGUAAACUUUAAAUCACUUUAC
rnacentral:rRNA from 1 species